UACGGGGGGAGCAAGCGUUGUUCGGAUUUACUGGGCGUAAAGGGUGCGUAGGCGGCCAGCACAAGUCAGUUGUGAAAUCUCCGGGCUUAACUCGGAAAGGUCAACUGAUACUGUGCGGCUAGAGUGCAGAAGGGGCAACUGGAAUUCUCGGUGUAGCGGUGAAAUGCGUAGAUAUCGAGAGGAACACCUGCGGCGAAGGCGGGUUGCUGGGCUGACACUGACGCUGAUGCGCGAAAGCCAGGGGAGCGAACGGG
rnacentral:rRNA from 1 species